GAUGAACGCUGACAGAAUGCUUAACACAUGCAAGUCUAUGAGAAGAUCUACUUCGGUAGAAGGUUAUCAUGGCGGACGGGUGAGUAACGCGUAAAGAACUUGCCUCUUAGACUGGGAUAACAGAUGGAAACGUCUGAUAAGACUAGAUAUAAUAGCGACAUGGCAUCAUGUUGUUAUGAAAGGUAACACUAAGAGAGAGCUUUGCGUCCUAUUAGUUAGUUGGUGAGGUAAUGGCUCACCAAGACGAUGAUAGGUAGCCGGCCUGAGAGGGUGAACGGCCACAAGGGGACUGAGAUACGGCCCUUACUCUUACGGGAGGCAGCAGUGGGGAAUAUUGGACAAUGGAGGAAACUCUGAUCCAGCAAUUCUGUGUGCACGAUGAAGGUUUUCGGAUCGUAAAGUGCUUUCAGUAGGGAAGAAGAAAGUGACGGUACCUACAGAAGAAGCGACGGCUAAAUACGUGCCAGCAGCCGCGGUAAAAUCACG
rnacentral:rRNA from 1 species